rnacentral:rRNA from 1 species
UACAGAGGGAGCAAGCGUUGUUCGGAAUUACUGGGCGUAAAGGGCGCGUAGGCGGUUCGAUAAGUCCCGUGUGAAAUCCCUCGGCUCAACUGAGGAAUUGCACGGGAAACUGACGGGCUUGAGUUCGGGAGAGGGAAGCGGAAUUCCGGGUGUAGCGGUGAAAUGCGUAGAUAUCCGGAGGAACACCGGUGGCGAAGGCGGCUUCCUGGACCGACACUGACGCUGAGGCGCGAAAGCGUGGGGAGCGAACCGG